AUUGAACGCUGGCGGCAGGCCUAACACAUGCAAGUCGAACGAGUGGCGGACGGGUGAGUAAUGUCUGGGAAACUGCCCGAUGGAGGGGGAUAACUACUGGAAACGGUAGCUAAUACCGCAUACCAUCGGAUGUGCCCAGAUGGGAUUAGCUUGUAGGUGGGGUAACGGCUCACCUAGUCGAAGAUCCCUAGCUGGUCUGAGAGGAUGACCAGCCAAACUGGAACUGUGACACGGUUCAGACACCGAAGGGAGGCAGCAGUGGGGAAUAUUGCACAAGGGGCGCAAGCCGGAUGCAGCCAUGCCGCGGGUGUGAAGAAGGCCUUCGGGUUGUAAAGCACGUUCAGCGGGGAGGCGUUACCCGCAGAAGAAGCACCGGCUAACUCCGUGACAGCAGCCGCGGUAAUAC
rnacentral:rRNA from 1 species